UUCAAUUCCAGCUGCAAGGUGCUCAGUGUUGUGACAAGCUGUGGGUCCUCAAAGCUGAGUACUGAAGGCUGAUUUCUGCUUCUGUUUUCAAGCCUUUCUGGACCCACUGAGGGAAGACAUUUUGUUGCUUGAAUUCAGAGGAGAAAGACAAGGGUGUUCCAGUGGCCAGCAUCCUCCUUCCUCCUGAUUUUUCAUAACAAGUGGUCAUUUCACACAGAAAUCCUGGGAG
rnacentral:lncRNA from 1 species